rfam:Gossypium hirsutum cultivar TM-1 chromosome 20, whole genome shotgun sequence
UAUUAAAAAUCUCAUCGAUUGUACUGUUGAAAACUGGAAUGAUUGAUGGAAUAAUCAAACAAUCACAUGUGAUGUGGCGCAUGUACCUCGUGCUUACGUAUAGUAACUAAUUUUUAACAGUAAAAAUGGAUAAAAAUUUUAAUU